rnacentral:rRNA from 1 species
CCUACGGGUGGCAGCAGUUGGGAAUCUUGCACAAUGGGGGAAACCCUGAUGCAGCGACGCCGCGUGGACGAUGAAGGCCUUAGGGUUGUAAAGUCCUUUUUUGGGGAAAGACUUAGGACGGUACCCCAAGAAUAAGCUCCGGCUAACUACGUGCCAGCAGCCGCGGUAAGACGUAGGGAGCAAGCGUUGUCCGGAUUUACUGGGCGUAAAGAGCGCGUAGGCGGCUCGUUAAGUGUGAAGUGAAAUCUCCAGGGCUCAACCCGGAAACUGCUUUACAUACUGGCGAGCUUGAGGGAUGUAGAGGUAACUGGAAUUCCUGGUGUAGCGGUGAAAUGCGUUGAUAUCAGGAGGAACACCCAUGGCGAAGGCAGGUUACUGGACAUCAUCUGACGCUGAGGCGCGAAAGCGUGGGUAGCAAACAGGAUUAGAUACCCCUGUAGUC